ACGCUCGACACCUACGGGAGGCAGCAGUGGGGAAUAUUGCACAAUGGGGGAAACCCUGAUGCAGCGACGCCGCGUGAGCGAAGAAGUAUUUCGGUAUGUAAAGCUCUAUCAGCAGGGAAGAAACUGACGGUACCUGACUAAGAAGCACCGGCUAAAUACGUGCCAANGCCGCGGUAAUCUGAGCGGGCGUGGCAAGGC
rnacentral:rRNA from 1 species